CGAAUGUAGCAAUACAUGGCGUACUGCUCAGUAACACGUGGAUAACCUGCCCUUGGGAUCGGCAUAACCCCGGGAAACUGGGGAUAAUUCCGGAUAACGCAUAUUUGCUGGAAUGCUUUAUGCGUCAAAAGGAUUCGUCUGCCCAAGGAUGGGUCUGCGGCCUAUCAGGUAGUAGUGGGUGUAAUGUACCUACUAGCCAGCGACGGGUACGGGUUGUGAGAGCAAGAGCCCGGAGAUGGAUUCUGAGACAUGAAUCCAGGCCCUACGGGGCGCAGCAGGCGCGAAAACUUUACAAUGCGGGAAACCGUGAUAAGGGGACACCGAGUGCCAGCAUCAUAUGCUGGCUGUCCGGAUGUGUAAAAUACAUCCGUUA
rnacentral:rRNA from 1 species